rnacentral:lncRNA from 1 species
CUGUUUCUAUUUCUUCUGACUUUUGCUUUCUGUCUGACAUCGGUCAGAAGCUCCUUCGUCUGUGCAUAUAUAUUUGUAUGCACGCUCCAGAAGUUUGAUAUAAGUUUGACGCAGAGCUUUAUUCAAAGAAUAUGUGAAUCGAGAUCUCCUUAGACUUCUUUUCAUGGUCGAGAUAGCCAUAUUUUCAUUGAGGUCUUUGACCUCAAGCAUGGCCAUAAUAAAACGAGCCACAAAAUUUCAAAGUGUUCCAGUCUCUUUUUGCUUAAUCGAGAAAAGACUAUCA